UACGGAGGGUGCAAGCGUUAUCCGGAUUCACUGGGUUUAAAGGGUGCGUAGGAGGGCAGGUAAGUCAGUGGUGAAAUCCCCGAGCUUAACUUGGGAACUGCCGUUGAUACUAUCUGUCUUGAAUAUUAUGGAGGUGAGCGGAAUAUGUCAUGUAGCGGUGAAAUGACUUAGAUAUGACAUAGAACACCAAUUGCGAAAGGCAGCUCGCUACACA
rnacentral:rRNA from 1 species